CUCCCUACUAUAUCUGCUAUCCCACAGUCACACUCCCUUCCCAGAGACUAUUAUCCCGCUAUUACAGGUGCUGCUGUGCUAACUGGGCAUUUAAAAACUAUUUAUUUGCAUUAUUGUGCAUUCCACAAUCAUCCUACAUAGAACUGUUGCUCUCUGAGUGUCCCAUGGGCAGUCUUUCAUACUUUACCCCUAAACCGAUCCCUGAGAGCUGUACAAGUACACUUUACUUACUGCACAUAAUAAGAGACAGGCUAUUAACAUAGACCCCCACACAGUCCUUUCGGAGGUGGAUUAGCAUGCAUACUUUUCCCAUAAAUUAGAAAUUCUAAUCAGUCUGCAAUAAAGACUCCUCGGGUAAGAUUAUACCCAGCUCCCAACAAUGCUGACCAUUAUCCAUUUAGAUUUUUUCUACAAUAUUCCUCUCUGGGCUGGAUUGCAUGUACUGACUUCUAAAAGAACAUUGUUGUGGGAGGUAUAGAAAAAAACAUUUUUUGCGACUAAAUAUAUUCAAUUAUUUAUACUGUGUUGUUGUUUUUUUUCAGCAACACCAAAGGUCCAGCUACAAAUACAGAUUAUUCGUUGCAUGUAGACGUAAGUGACCUAUGCAAAUUAUGCCUUGUUUAGAAAUAGCAAAAAUAUUUCCUAUUAUUGCUCUGCAUCCUUACAUUUAAAAUUCUUAGCCCCAUCAACCAGAAAGCAGAUUUAUUAAAUGUGAAUUGUUAUAUUUGUUGAAUUUUACGUAGACACUUUUUCUUUCAAACAAUGACCAGUAACUGGAAUUGGUGAACUUAGAAACAAAAUAGUUUAAAUUUCAUAAUGGACAAUUAACACUGGAAAUGAUGUGCCAUUCGAAUACAGGGAACCAAAAGAAUUGUUUGAUUUCCAGUCCCUUAUAUUGUACAAGAUUGUGACUUGCUGUCUCAGCCUCAAUACGAUAUCUCUCUUCUAGGGUUUCUCUGGGGCUGCAGUGGAUCAAUAGGACUCUACUUUCUGUCUCCAACAACUAUGUUCUCCUUUCUCAGAAACUACUUUCCCUCUUCAACACACUUCUACCCACUUUCUUACAAUCUCCACCAUCUACAUCUACUGAAUAUUAGUAAUGCUGUAGGAUAUAGAAAUUAACAUUUUAGGGGUAAAAACAGAUAUGAAUCACAAGGAUACUACCCUUCUACCACCAGUCAUUUUGUUUUUAGCGCUCAGUGAUCUCCUAGAAGGAUGAGGGUCCCUUGGUACUUCACUAGUGGACGUUCCUUUGCGGUAGAUCCUCAAUGGUCCCUCAUCUGGUGUAGCUAUCUCCAACCUGUGUUUUGUGAGCAAAGUGUUUUUGCCCCUCUUUGCACAGAGUAGGAAAUCUCUGUGUCUAAAAAAUCUUGUCUGACUGUCAACGGCUGAUGCCCUUGUUUUACUCUUCUCUACUGUAACAUCUUGUCAUCAACUUCUUGAUCCACCGUUGCCAUGCUGCCCUACAUUUUCGAUAUAAACAUUCUACCUGCCAGGCCCCAGAGCAACCCUGUGUUAUUGUGUUUACUUGGACCUCCUAAAGACAGAUCUAAUAGAAUGAACAUCCUAUCUGCACAAAAGAAAAAUACAUGAAGUGCAUCUAUUUUCUGUGGGGAUGGAUGAGGGGUCAUAGUGAGACAGACUAAUGCAAGCUGUUUAAUCUUGCUUUAUAACUUUCUCUUGAUCGAGAGUCUCUAUAGAAUAUACUGUAGUUCCUUGUUCAGAGUGAACAUCCAUAAAAUGUGCCGACAGACAGAAAAUACGUUACCUGUAAUUUAUACAAUUUCCUGCUACAAAUGGGUGGCUUUGAGGAAUGCAGAACUGAAUAUUUUCAAACCAAGUGCCAGUCUGAAUCAACAUCCUGGGAUUUACAGUAUUGGAGCAAUCAGAGCAGCUAAUGGGUUCUCACUACUCCCAGCAUCCUAUGCAGGCCAACACGGCUCCCAGAUCCUCACACAUUGUGAAAUGUCAUCAUAUCUUGUCGUAGCACCAAAAUGCUAAGAUAACCCAUAUAUUCCUGUUUUCUUGAAGGUUUGCUGCCCCCAACCACUGUCUUUUUUUGGGAUCUGUUUGAUUACUUCCUGUCCAAACUUUCCACCCUGUUUUUUCAUGAUGGCUUCCUCCUUGUCCUUUCAUACUCAGGAACCUAGUGGUAACUCUGGCUCAACCCAAACGAAUAAAGGGGGCACUAUUGGUGAAAAGAGUGCAAAGAGGAGAAGGCCACAUAGAAACAUAUUUGGCUGAUAUUAGGGAUGCACUGAAUCCAGUAUUCAAUUCGGGAUUCAACCAGGAUUCUGCCUUUUUCAACAGGAUUCGGAUUAAGUCGAAAUCCUCGUGUAUGGCUGAACUAAAUCCACAUAUGCAAAUUAGGGGUGGGAAGGAAAAUCACAAGACUUUUCGUCACAAAACAGUAGUAAAAUAUUUUUUCCUUUCCCUCCAGUAAUUUGCAUAUACAAAUUAGGAGUCGGUUCGGUAUUCGGACACAUCUUUCACAAAGGAUUCGGGGAUUCAGCCUAAUCCCAAAUAUUGGAUUCGGUGCAUCCCUAGUUGAAAUAUCGAAGCAAACUACAAUUCCCAGUAUUCUCACUGGACAAGUAUCUUCCAGUUCCUUUGCAGACAGAGUGACGCAGACGAUUUCAGACAAUCUGGCGCCAAAAUGGUUCAAUUCAUAUACAGUACAAUAAAAAAAGUUUCUCUUCCGUCAUAACAUUUUACACUUUUUUGCCACAUUCUUUCCCUGCAGGGCUAAGCUAUAAAGACACUGAAUAGGAUGAAUCAUGUAUAGAAUGUAGGCAGUUUACAGUUUCCCCUGAUCACUUAUAAAAAUCAGACUACUUUGGAAAAUAAAAAAAAAAUCAUGAAAGUGAGUCUGACCGGCUGUCUGCAUGCUGAUAGAGCUUGGUGCAGGCAGCUGCAAUUUUUUAUUAAAACUGUUGAAUUCUGGACCUGUGGUUUUACGGUACGUGCACGUGAGAUAUUGUAAUAAAUUCAGAUAUUUGCAAUGAAUCUGAAAAGUUCUUUCUGAAAUAAACCUCUGAGAAUGCGACUAUUGAAAUGCUAAAUUGGACGUCCUGUAUGGCUGGAGCAUUGACACCUUCGCUGCUGUAUGAUUUUCUUGUCAGUGAUGGGUUUAGAGCAGGGGUCCCCAACCUUUUUUACUCGUGAGACACAUUUAAAUGUAAAAAAGUCUUGGAGAACAACACAAAUACAAUACAAAAGUGUAAGGGCUGUGAAUGACUGUGAAUGACUAUAUGGACUGACAGCCUACAGGAGGCUCGCUUUGGCAUUACACCUGGUCUUUAUGCAACUAAAACUUGCCUCCAAGCAGGGCCGGAACUAGGGGUAGGCUGAAGAGGCAUGUGCCUAGGGCGCAACGAAGUGGGGACGCCAAGCACAUACCUCUUCUCUCAUCUACCCCUGGUCUGGACCCUUGUUCGGUGUCAGCUCACCUCUUUGCUUGCUCUUUGCGUGCUCUACUCUCCCCCUCCCUCAACGAAGUUAUAUUGUGCACGCAUGCACAAACUCACCGGCGUGGAUGCGUGCAUGCUCGCGGACACAUGUGCAUGCACACUCAUUAGCAUGCCGGCUAGGGUGUGAAGUGGCCGGCCUGGUUGCCUUGGGCCUUUGGCCCGUGCCUGCCCCCAAGCCAGGAAUUAAAAAAUAAGCACCUGCUUUGAUGCCACUGGGAGUAAUAUCCAAGGGGUUGGUAAACAACAUGUUACUUGCAAGCUACUGGUUGAGGAUCACUGGUUUAGAGCAACGUCGGGGGGGGGGGGAGAACACCAGUCCAUCAUGUUUAAACAUAAUCCAGGGAAAGGCAAACAAAACCUUCAGUAAUGGUACCACUUCAAAAUGUGUAUAAAAUAGAGAGUUAGCUCAGCACCUUCAGUCUUGAUUCAUUUUAAAAUUUUGUUUUGAAAUUUAAACACCUCCCCACACCCCUGCAUUGUGACAUCAAAGUGUGGGCAGGGGCAUUUAACUCCACUGUGUCGGUGUCUAUCAAAGUAUCCAGGUAACUGUAUCAAUCUCCAUUGUACAACAAAGGAAAUGUAACCAAAUGGUGCAGUUAUCCUAAAGUCUACAUUGUAAAUGAUUAUGCAUAAAAGAAAAGGGGGUGGACAAAUAGCCAUUACAUUCCUCUAUGCCUAUUAUAUGUAGGUAUAUAAUGAGAGACUCUCCUUUAAUUCAUGUGUUCAAUGAAUAGAUCUGCUUCCCUGGUAGAGAGGAGAAUUUUGUCAGUCACCCCUUCUGAUCCCUAAGUUAACUCUUUCAACAACUGCUACUUUCAGUCCCAUAGGAUCCCAGUUAUAUGCACAAUAAAAGUGUUUGCUCACAGGGGUCAGUCUCUUGGUCUUUUUUCUCUUGGAAUAAGUACUAUAAGGGUCAUCUUUGAUGUUAGAGAUGAGUUCCCCAAUCCUCGGUCUCAAAGUUUGGUUUUACCAAUAUAUUUUAGUUCACAAGGACAGGUGAUCAUGUCAAUCAGUGGCAUAGCUAGAUGUUCCUGGGCUCCACCACAAAUUAAUUUUAGGGCCUUAACAUAUCCAGAGAUAUGUUUUUUUUUU